UUUUUUUUUUUUUUUUUUUUUUUUUCUCCUC
rnacentral:ribozyme from 1 species